rnacentral:rRNA from 1 species
UCCUACGGGAGGCAGCAGUGGGGAAUUUUGGACAAUGGGGGCAACCCUGAUCCAGCCAUUCCGCGUGAGUGAAGAAGGCCUUCGGGUUGUAAAGCUCUUUCGCAAGGGAAGAAACGAUACAGACGAAUAAUCUGUGUUAAUGACGGUACCUUGAUAAGAAGCACCGGCUAACUACGUGCCAGCAGCCGCGGUAAUACGUAGGGUGCGAGCGUUAAUCGGAAUUACUGGGCGUAAAGCGUGCGCAGGCGGUUUUGAAAGUCAGAUGUGAAAUCCCCGGGCUCAACCUGGGAACUGCGUUUGAAACUCCAAAGCUAGAGUAUAGGAGAGGGGGGUAGAAUUCCACGUGUAGCAGUGAAAUGCGUAGAGAUGUGGAGGAAUACCAAUGGCGAAGGCAGCCCCCUGGCUUAAUACUGACGCUCAUGCACGAAAGCGUGGGGAGCAAACAGGAUUAGAUACCCUGGUAGUCCACGCCCUAAACGAUGUCUACUAGUUGUUGGGAGAGUAAAAUCUCUUAGUAACGCAGCUAACGCGUGAAGUAGACCGCCUGGGGAGUACGGUCGCAAGAUUAAAACUCAAAUGAAUUGACGGA